rnacentral:rRNA from 1 species
GACGAACGCUGGCGGCGUGCCUAAUACAUGCAAGUAGAACGCAGUUGCGAACGGGUGAGUAACGCGUAGGUAACUGCCUCAUAGCGGGGGAUCACUAUGGGAAACGCUAGCUAAUACCGCAUACUGUGGGAUGGACCUGCGUUGUAUUAGCUAGUUGGUGAGGUAAAGGCUCACCAAGGCGACGAUACAUAGCCGACCUGAGAGGGUGAGCGGGCACACUGGGACUGAGACACGGCCCAGACUCCUACGGGAGGCAGCAGUAGGGAAUCUUCGGCAAUGGACGGAAGUCUGACCGAGCAACGCCGCGUGAGUGAAGAAGGUUUUAGGAUCGUAAAGCUCUGUUGUUAGAGAAGCGUGAACUAACCAGAAAGGAACGGCAAACUACGUGCAAGCAGCGGCGGUAAAC